AGUAAUUUUAACAAUAAAUGUGCUCAUAAACUACUUUUUACCAAUAUAUUAACUUAUUAUUAGCAACUAAUAAGCACUUUAACCAAACAUGCAAUUCCUUAAAAUUUUAAAUGUUUAUAAACUUAAAUUAGUUUAUAUAAGCUAAUUUUUAUAAGUUAAGCCAAACAUUCUCUAAGGACACUAUACAUGGUCAAGCAAAUGCGAGGCCAAUAGAAUGCGAAAUAUCUAGAUUAACCGUCUGCUCUGAGCUGCAAAGUUCCCAUUCUUAAAACCAUUUUAUAGCCACCAUCUAUUUCUAUGAGCCAACUCAUGAACCAAGUUGCCAUAUCCACCUCUAAAGGCACACUAUCACUAAUCAUGCAUUGCUGACUGAUCCAUAUAAAAGGGUAAUAAACCACUCAUAUAAUAAUCAUAUUCAUCUGAUUAACUAGGAAACAAAUUGCCAGAAUUUGCAAUACUGAAAGUACAAAAUGAGUUAUCUGCUAAAACCAUCUCUCAACAAUGAACAGCUACUGAAAAGACUAGGGCUGAUGAACAAUAAAAUCCAAAAGUACAGCAAUUCUAUAAAAAUUUAUCAAUAGUGGGAAUGAAUUUCAAUAACUUAACCACUCGUAGCUGAAGGUCAAUCUUUCUCCCUGGAACAUGUUAUCUCUGUGAUCCUUGUUACCAUGCUAAAGGAAAAUGUAGGGAAAGCGAAAACCUUAAUUUUUGAGAGGGAAAAAUAAAAAGACUGGUGACUACAAUUAGUUCCCAUUAUUCAACUUCAUGUUUGCUAUUAAU
rnacentral:misc_RNA from 1 species